rnacentral:rRNA from 1 species
AAUCCAUAGGUUAAUGAGGCGAACCGGGGGAACUGAAACAUCUAAGUACCCCGAGGAAAAGAAAUCAACCGAGAUUCCCCCAGUAGCGGCGAGCGAACGGGGAGGAGCCCAGAGCCUGAAUCAGCAUGUGUGUUAGUGGAAGCGUCUGGAAAGGCGCGCGAUACAGGGUGACAGCCCCGUACACAAAAGCGCAUGUGCUGUGAGCUCGAUGAGUAGGGCGGGACACGUGGUAUCCUGUCUGAAUAUGGGGGGACCAUCCUCCAAGGCUAAAUACUCCUGACUGACCGAUAGUGAACCAGUACCGUGAGGGAAAGGCGAAAAGAACCCCGGCGAGGGGAGUGAAAAAGAACCUGAAACCGUGUACGUACAAGCAGUGGGAGCACAGGUUUACCUGUGUGACUGCGUACCUUUUGUAUAAUGGGUCAGCGACUUAUAUUCUGUAGCAAGGUUAACCGUAUAGGGGAGCCGUAGGGAAACCGAGUCUUAACCGGGCGUUAAGUUGCAGGGUAUAGACCCGAAACCCGGUGAUCUAGCCAUGGGCAGGUUGAAGGUUGGGUAACACUAACUGGAGGACCGAACCGACUAAUGUUGAAAAAUUAGCGGAUGACCUGUGGCUGGGGGUGAAAGGCCAAUCAAACCGGGAGAUAGCUGGUUCUCCCCGAAAGCUAUUUAGGUAGCGCCUCGUGAAUUCAUCUCCGGGGGUAGAGCACUGUUUCGGCUAGGGGGCCAUCCCGGCUUACCAACCCGAUGCAAACUGCGAAUACCGGAGAAUGUUAUCACGGGAGACACACGGCGGGUGCUAACGUCCGUCGUGAAGAGGGAAACAACCCAGACCGCCAGCUAAGGUCCCAAAGUCAUGGUUAAGUGGGAAACGAUGUGGGAAGGCCCAGACAGCCAGGAUGUUGGCUUAGAAGCAGCCAUCAUUUAAAGAAAGCGUAAUAGCUCACUGGUCGAGUCGGCCUGCGCGGAAGAUGUAACGGGGCUAAACCAUGCACCGAAGCUGCGGCAGCGACACUGUGUGUUGUUGGGUAGGGGAGCGUUCUGUAAGCCUGUGAAGGUGGCCUGUGAGGGUUGCUGGAGGUAUCAGAAGUGCGAAUGCUGACAUAAGUAACGAUAAAGCGGGUGAAAAGCCCGCUCGCCGGAAGACCAAGGGUUCCUGUCCAACGUUAAUCGGGGCAGGGUGAGUCGACCCCUAAGGCGAGGCCGAAAGGCGUAGUCGAUGGGAAACGGGUUAAUAUUCCCGUACUUGGUGUU